AUGGCAGGUUCCUCCUCCACACCAGACCCAUGGCUCAACCCAUUCCCCACUAGCAAGGGCUGGGUUGCCAUGCUAUUUGGUUCAGCGCACGGUGACCAGGAUCUAUUCCUGGACUACAUGAAGAUAGCUACGAGAUGCAACAUCGUGGAUGGACUAGUAGAUGCUGCUGACCUAGUCCAGAAGAAGGCGAUGCCUCAAGAGAAGAAGUGCAUGCAGCAAAGCUAUGGAACUAAAGGUAAAGGUAUCAUGCCCAUCGACACUCUACUAUGGGCAAUGAGAGAUGCAGAGUCCUCCGAUGAUGGCCAGCGUAAGCGAUGGGAAGCCCACCGCUAUGUUGCUCCGGCACAAGCUGCAACUGAUGUAGCAGUGCAGGAAGAGGAUGACGACGACUUGCAGAUAGUUGCGCCACCUGCAGAGCAGGCUUGCCACCGUCCCCCUCCCAUCAUCGUCAUCGACAAAGACGAUGAAGAGGAGGAAGUGCAGAAGCAGACAGAUCCAAGGCAGAUCAAGCAAAUCAGGCGUCGCUCUACACGCUUAGCAAAUCCUAAAGAUGAGCAGUAG
rnacentral:rRNA from 1 species